GUAGUCUGUACUGCUGGGCCCCUACCCGUCCUUCCUCCCUACGCUCUUCUCCGCAAUUCCAAGCUUCGCACCGCCUUGCCGGCCUAGCUUCCCUGCUCCUGGGGGCCCGCUGCUGUCCUAGUGCACUGUCACCCGAUGACCCAGAUGCGCUGCGCCGCCUCCGCCCGUCCUUGGACGCGGACCUCCUUCUCCCCGCCCUGCAGCUGGUCCUGGAACCACUGCGCCUGCUAUGCGAUGGACUCCUGUCCCUGCUCCACUGCCGAUCAGCUGACCUCCUGCUGCUGCCGGGCCUGGCGCCACCGCUGCGCCGCUCCCGUCUGUACUCCUCCCGCUCCCUGGUCCCGCUGCGGUGCCCCCCGUGAGAGCAGCCUGAGGGGCCCAACCUUCCACUGCUACUGCUCCUGACUUCCCUAUCCCGCGCUGUACUGCGUGUGUCCCCUUUCUCCGCUGUACCUGGCCAUCUGUUGGCCGCUGCGCCUGGCUCAGAUGCCCCUUGCACCCCCUGGCAGCCCGCUGGAACCUCUGCCGCUCCCUGUCCGAUCCUGCCGUCCCUCCUCCCUAUGCCUGGCACUGUCGCCCGUCCCGGCCACACCUAAGGCCGCCCGCGAGCUGGUCCCGCUGACCAGGCCACCCCUGGGUUGCUGGGGGGCCGCCUGCGCUGGAACAUCCCGCGUCCCGCCCGCCCCCU